rnacentral:rRNA from 1 species
UUAAGCGACUAAGCGUACACGGUGGAUGCCCUGGCAGUCAGAGGCGAUGAAGGACGUGCUAAUCUGCGAAAAGCGUCGGUAAGGUGAUAUGAACCGUUAUAACCGGCGAUGUCCGAAUGGGGAAACCCAGUGUGAUUCGUCACACUAUCGUUAACUGAAUACAUAGGUUAACGAGGCGAACCGGGGGAACUGAAACAUCUAAGUACCCCGAGGAAAAGAAAUCAACCGAGAUUCCCCCAGUAGCGGCGAGCGAACGGGGAGCAGCCCAGAGUCUGAAUCAGCUUGUGUGUUAGUGGAACGGUCUGGAAAGUCCGACGGUACAGGGUGAUAGUCCCGUACACCAAAAUGCACAGGCUGUGAACUCGAAGAGUAGGGCGGGACACGUGGUAUCCUGUCUGAAUAUGGGGGGACCAUCCUCCAAGGCUAAAUACUCCUGACUGACCGAUAGUGAACCAGUACCGUGAGGGAAAGGCGAAAAGAACCCCGGCGAGGGAAAAAGAACCUGAAACCGUGUACGUACAAGCAGUGGGAGCACCUUCGGGUGUGACUGCGUACCUUUUGUAUAAUGGGUCAGCGACUUAUAUUCUGUAGCAAGGUUAACCGUAUAGGGGAGCCGCAGGGAAACCGAGUCUUAACUGGGCGUUAAGUUGCAGGGUAUAGACCCGAAACCCGGUGAUCUAGCCAUGGGCAGGUUGAAGGUUGGGUAACACUAACUGGAGGACCGAACCGACUAAUGUUGAAAAAUUAGCGGAUGACUUGUGGCUGGGGGUGAAAGGCCAAUCAAACCGGGAGAUAGCUGGUUCUCCCCGAAAGCUAUUUAGGUAGCGCCUCGUGAAUUCAUCUUCGGGGGUAGAGCACUGUUUCGGCUAGGGGGUCAUCCCGACUUACCAACCCGAUGCAAACUACGAAUACCGAAGAAUGUUAUCACGGGAGACACACGGCGGGUGCUAACGUCCGUCGUGAAGAGGGAAACAACCCAGACCGCCAGCUAAGGUCCCAAAGUCAUGGUUAAGUGGGAAACGAUGUGGGAAGGCACAGACAGCCAGGAUGUUGGCUUAGAAGCAGCCAUCAUUUAAAGAAAGCGUAAUAGCUCACUGGUCGAGUCGGCCUGCGCGGAAGAUGUAACGGGGCUAAACCAUGCACCGAAGCUGCGGCAGCGACACUAUGUGUUGUUGGGUAGGGGAGCGUUCUGUAAGCCUGCGAAGGUGACCUGUGAGGGUUGCUGGAGGUAUCAGAAGUGCGAAUGCUGACAUAAGUAACGAUAAAGCGGGUGAAAAGCCCGCUCGCCGGAAGACCAAGGGUUCCUGUCCAACGUUAAUCGGGGCAGGGUGAGUCGACCCCUAAGGCGAGGCCGAAAGGCGUAGUCGAUGGGAAACAGGUUAAUAUUCCUGUACUUGGUGUUACUGCGAAGGGGGGACGGAGAAGGCUAUGUUAGCCGGGCGACGGUUGUCCCGGUUUAAGCAUGUAGGCUGGUUGUCCAGGCAAAUCCGGAUAAUCAAGGCUGAGGUGUGAUGACGAGGCACUACGGUGCUGAAGUAACAAAUGCCCUGCUUCCAGGAAAAGCCUCUAAGCAUCAGGUAACAUCAAAUCGUACCCCAAACCGACACAGGUGGUCAGGUAGAGAAUACCAAGGCGCUUGAGAGAACUCGGGUGAAGGAACUAGGCAAAAUGGUGCCGUAACUUCGGGAGAAGGCACGCUGGUGUGUAGGUGAAGUCCCUGCGGAUGGAGCUGAGACCAGUCGAAGAUACCAGCUGGCUGCAACUGUUUAUUAAAAACACAGCACUGUGCAAACACGAAAGUGGACGUAUACGGUGUGACGCCUGCCCGGUGCCGGAAGGUUAAUUGAUGGGGUUAUCCGUAAGGAGAAGCUCUUGAUCGAAGCCCCGGUAAACGGCGGCCGUAACUAUAACGGUCCUAAGGUAGCGAAAUUCCUUGUCGGGUAAGUUCCGACCUGCACGAAUGGCGUAAUGAUGGCCAGGCUGUCUCCACCCGAGACUCAGUGAAAUUGAACUCGCUGUGAAGAUGCAGUGUACCCGCGGCAAGACGGAAAGACCCCGUGAACCUUUACUAUAGCUUGACACUGAACAUUGAGCCUUGAUGUGUAGGAUAGGUGGGAGGCUUUGAAGCGUGGACGCCAGUCUGCGUGGAGCCAACCUUGAAAUACCACCCUUUAAUGUUUGAUGUUCUAACGUUGGCCCCUUAUCGGGGUUGCGGACAGUGUCUGGUGGGUAGUUUGACUGGGGCGGUCUCCUCCCAAAGCGUAACGGAGGAGCACGAAGGUUAGCUAAUCCUGGUCGGACAUCAGGAGGUUAGUGCAAUGGCAUAAGCUAGCUUGACUGCGAGCGUGACGGCGCGAGCAGGUGCGAAAGCAGGUCAUAGUGAUCCGGUGGUUCUGAAUGGAAGGGCCAUCGCUCAACGGAUAAAAGGUACUCCGGGGAUAACAGGCUGAUACCGCCCAAGAGUUCAUAUCGACGGCGGUGUUUGGCACCUCGAUGUCGGCUCAUCACAUCCUGGGGCUGAAGUAGGUCCCAAGGGUAUGGCUGUUCGCCAUUUAAAGUGGUACGCGAGCUGGGUUUAGAACGUCGUGAGACAGUUCGGUCCCUAUCUGCCGUGGGCGCUGGAGAAUUGAGGGGGGCUGCUCCUAGUACGAGAGGACCGGAGUGGACGCAUCACUGGUGUUCGGGUUGUCAUGCCAAUGGCACUGCCCGGUAGCUAAAUGCGGAAGAGAUAAGUGCUGAAAGCAUCUAAGCACGAAACUUGCCCCGAGAUGAGUUCUCCCUGAGACUUUAAGUCUCCUGAAGGAACGUUAAAGACGAUGACGUUGAUAGGCCGGGUGUGUAAGCGCAGCGAUGCGUUGAGCUAACCGGUACUAAUGAACCGUGAGGCUUAACCU